GAUGAACGCUGGCGGCGUGCCUAAUACAUGCAAGUCGAGCGAACGGACGAGAAGCUUGCUUCUCUGAUGUUAGCGGCGGACGGGUGAGUAACACGUGGAUAACCUACCUAUAAGACUGGGAUAACUUCGGGAAACCGGAGCUAAUACCGGAUAAUAUUUUGAACCGCAUGGUUCAAAAGUGAAAGACGGUCUUGCUGUCACUUAUAGAUGGAUCCGCGCUGCAUUAGCUAGUUGGUAAGGUAACGGCUUACCAAGGCAACGAUGCAUAGCCGACCUGAGAGGGUGACCGGCCACACUAACUGAGACACGGUCCAGACUCCUACGGGAGGCAGCAGUAGGGAAUCUUCCGCAAUGGGCGAAAGCCUGACGGAGCAACGCCGCGUGAGUGAUGAAGGUCUUCGGAUCGUAAAACUCUGUUAUUAGGGAAGAACAUAUGUGUAAGUAACUGUGCACAUCUUGACGGUACCUAAUCAGAAAGCCACGGCUAACUACGUG
rnacentral:rRNA from 1 species